UAGUCUGGGAUACCACUUGGAAACAGGUGCUAAUACCGGAUAAGAAAGCGGAUCGCAUGAUCAGCUUUUAAAAGGCGGCGUAAGCUGUCGCUAUGGGAUGGCCCCGCGGUGCAUUAGCUAGUUGGUAAGGUAAAGGCUUACCAAGGCGAUGAUGCAUAGCCGAGUUGAGAGACUGAUCGGCCACAUUGGGACUGAGACACGGCCCAAACUCCUACGGGAGGCAGCAGUG
rnacentral:rRNA from 1 species